GACGAACGCUGGCGGCGUGCUUAACACAUGCAAGUCGAACGGAAAGGCCUUUUCGGAGGUACUCGAGUGGCGAACGGGUGAGUAACACGUGGGUGAUCUGCCCUGCACUCUGGGGUAAGCCUGGGAAACUGGGUCUAAUACCGGAUAGGACCGCACUUUAGUGUGUGUGGUGGAAAGUUUUUUCGGUGUAGGAUGAGCCCGCGGCCUAUCAGCUUGUUGGUGGGGUAAUGGCCUACCAAGGCGGCGACGGGUAGCCGGACUGAGAGGUUGGUCGGCCACAUUGGGACUGAGAUACGGCCCAGACUCCUACGGGAGGCAGCAGUGGGGAAUAUUGCACAAUGGGCGCAAGCCUGAUGCAGCGACGCCGCGUGGGGGAUGACGGCCUUCGGGUUGUAAACUCCUUUCGCCAGGGACGAAGCGUUUUGUGACGGUACCUGGAGAAGAAGCACCGGCUAACUACGUG
rnacentral:rRNA from 1 species